CUUAAUGCAUUUUCAGCUGGUCAUUUUUAUAAAAGUUGGGCAGUGACUAAAGAUACCUAAUGUCCCUGAGCCUCAGUUUCUUGAUCUGUAAAAUGGGGAUGAUACUAAUAUGAUUAUUCUGAGACUUGUACUAGGAAGUAUGUGUGAACAUGUGUAACAGAGGGUUGCAUCCCUGGUAGGGACUAAAUACAUUUAAUCAUCUUCCUCAGACUUGGUUGUUGAACACGGAAGGACCAGCCAGGCAACUCUGAAGACCUGUUUGUCAGUAUCUGCUAAGGUUCACACCAUUGCCUUAGUCUGUCCAUGGGCUUAGGGACGAUGCUGAGUGACAUCCUACACUUGCUCAGAAAUGAUUUCAACUGUCUGCAGCAGAGGAGGAGUGCCUUACUGGAUUGCUGAAUUUAAGACAAGGAGAGAAAAGAACUGAUGCAUAGAGAGAUAAAUAGUUUGUCCAAAACCAUGCAAGAAUCAUGGUGCUGUAAGGACGAACUAAUCCUGCUCCUGAAAGAGGCCAUCUGUAAUGAACAGAGCCCAGGGAAGACUGAAGAGCUGAAAAGAAAACAGAGCUGAGGGGUGGACAGAUAUGCUGUGUUUGGACCCCUGGGGCCCAGCUAUACCUGGACUGAAACCCACCCCUUGGACUUCAAGUGUAGGGCCUGUUGUUCUUUGCAAUUGAACUAUGCUGACUUGAGGUUUUGUUGUCCCUUAUUGUCAAAAAGAGUCUGAAUUUACUGAAUUCUAGAUGCAACCAUUCCACUUACUAACAUAUGAACC
ensembl:lncRNA